GUGAGGUCGCUUCUUUACGGUUCUGUCCCCUAGGCCCCUUCCUUCCAUAAGACCUACUCAGGACUCCACUGGGCUGCUGACUACUCACCCUCCCCUCAGGUCAUCUCCUGACCCGUACACAGUUAUGUCCACCCAGGGUCUGCUUGGACACCUGUGCCUGAUGUUCACCAGGGGCCAGAUGUCGUCCUCAGGCCUGAUGUCCACCUAGGGCCUGAUGACUGCCUUGGCCUAUGUCCCUCUGGGGGCCUUGUGUUCACCUGGGGACUGUAUCCAGCUGGGGCCUGAUGGCCUACUGGGUCUUGUUGUUCACCUAAGGCCUUGUGUCCACCUGGGGACUGGUGAUCACCUGGGGCCUGGGUGUCCACCUGAGGCCAGAGGUGCACCUAAGGCCUGAGUUUUCACCUGGGCCUGAUGAUCACCUGGGGACUGGGUGUGUGCCUUGGGUCUUUUCCCUUUUCCUGAACAGGGCUUGCAGUUUCCAAACCAGACACAAUCUCCCAGUUGGAGAAAGAAAAAGGAUCCUAGAUGAUAGUGAGACAAAUUUCAGGAAACUCCAUCCAAAUAAGUAAAUGAGAAUGAGGACAGGAUUCAUUGCAUGGUGGCAUGUGCCUGCAGUCCCAGCUACUCAAGAGGCUGAGGUGGGAGGAUCGCUUGAACUCAGGAGUUGAAGGCUGCAGUGGGUGAGGAUCACAACACUGAAUUCCAGCUGAGGUGACAGAAUGAGACCCUGUCUCUCUAAAAAACAAGCAAGCAAACAAACCAAAAACCACAGACAAACCAGACCCCUCUUAGCAGAAUACUUCCAUGAGGUAAUAAAAGAAAGAAGAAAGUGAAACGAACAAACAAUUUUACUCAAGAAACUAGUGAGAAAUCAAAGAAAUGUCCAAGAAGUAGGAGACAAGAAUUAAUCAAAACAGAUUAACAGUGGAAUAAAUAAAUGAAUCCAACUGGUUCUUUGUAAUGGAAUGUAGAAAGACAUACUCUAUUCUUCUGGAUAGGAAGAUGAAAUAUCAUAAUCAUAUCAAUGCAAGUUUUAUGCAUGCUCAAACAUGUAUAAACUAAGAAAAAAUCUGAAAGGACAGACAGCAAAAUGUUUGCAGUUUUUUUCCUCCAAGUGGUAAGAUUAAAGAACACAGACAAAAAUAGAAACUCCUCACAUGACCCACCACGAAGCCCAUCAGAUGGCAGAAUGCAGAAUCAGGUUGCAAUGGACUGAUCUUAAAACAGAUGAAGCAGUGGAGAAAAUCUUCCUGGAGCUGAUGGUAUAAUUUGCUUCUUGAAACAAUGACAGUCCAUGAAAUAAGGUGGGGAAGAUGUUUUGAACCUCUCUCAGCAGCAGAUCCCUAAAUCACAGACCCAGAACUUGGAGGAAACAGGAAACAGGAGGCCAUCUCUGCACCUCUCCAGCACUGCUCUGGUUGGUGGGCAGAAUAUCAUACAAUCAUCACGAUUCUUAUAUCAAAAACCAAAUUCUAGACUGAUUAAAUAAUUAUUUUUUUAAAUGAGAAAAGUUAUCGUUUAUUUGAUCUUGGGCUAGGGAAGAUAUUUCCAAGCAAAAAGGGUAAAAAGAAGGAAAAAGAAAUGAUUAACAGAUUGGAAGGCAAUAACAAUAUAAUAUCAAGUGCUGGCAAGAGCUCAGAGAAGUGUGUGUUCUCAUGACUGCUGGAACAAAUUGGUAUAAUAUUUCUGAAGGGCAAUCUGGCUGAAUAUGUUAGAAGUCUUUAAAAUAUUUAUACUCUGACUCAGUAAUUCAACAUCUAGAAAUUUUUCCUAAGUAAGUAAUAAGAAAGAGUUGAAAAAAGUAUUUGAAUAUUGAAAGACUGGAAAGAACAUAAAGGUUCAAUAAUACAUAUAUGUUCAACAACAGGGGACUAGUAAAUAUGAAUUAUUUAUAUGAUAAAAUACUAUCUAACCUUAAAAUAAUGUUUUAAAUAAUAUUUAAUGAUGAGAAUAUGCUGAGAAAAGUUUAAUCAUUUUAAAAAAGUUACAUGCAAAAUUAAAGUUAAUAACAUGUACAAGAUUAUUCUAAUUUUUUUUUUUUUUGAGAUGCAGUCUCACUGUUGUCACCUGGGCUGGAGUGCAAUGGAGUGAUCUCGGCUCACUGCAGCCUCCACCUCCCAGGUUCCAGCAAUUCUCCUGCCUCAGUCUCCUGAGCAGCUGAGAUUGUAGGCACCCGCCACCAUGCCCGGCUAAUUUUUGCAUUUUUAGUAGACACGGGGUUUCACCAUGUUGGUCAGGCUGGUCUCGAAUGCUGGCCUUGCUGGGGUGCCGUGGAGUGGGGCCCCGCCCUGGUGAGUUGUUCACUGGGACCACCUUUCUGGAAUGCUGGAAGGCGGCGUGGCAGGACCCACCGAAUGCCUUCAAAAGCCAGUGGUCCAUGCCUCUGUCUCCUUCGUUAGACUCUUCCAGAAGAGACUGGUCAGAGGUGCAGCACAGAUGAACCUACAAAGCUGUUCAUCAAAGCAUCACUUACAAUGGUGAAAAGGCAGAAGAAUCACUGAAUUCCACCAAGGUGGAGCAGCCGAGGAAA
rnacentral:lncRNA from 10 species